UACGUAGGGUGCAAGCGUUGUCCGGAAUUAUUGGGCGUAAAGAGCUCGUAGGCGGUCUGUCGCGUCGGCUGUGAAAACCUGGGGCUCAACCCCGGGCCUGCAGCCGAUACGGGCAGACUAGAAUUCGGCAGGGGAGACUGGAAUUCCUGGUGUAGCGGUGAAAUGCGCAGAUAUCAGGAGGAACACCGGUGGCGAAGGCGGGUCUCUGGGCCGAUAUUGACGCUGAGGAGCGAAAGCGUGGGGAGCAAACAGG
rnacentral:rRNA from 1 species